rnacentral:rRNA from 1 species
GAUGAACGCUGGCGGCGUGCCUAAUACAUGCAAGUCGAGCGAACAGACGAGGAGCUUGCUCCUCUGACGUUAGCGGCGGACGGGUGAGUAACACGUGGAUAACCUACCUAUAAGACUGGGAUAACUCCGGGAAACCGGAGCUAAUACCGGAUAAUAUAUUGAACCGCAUGGUUCAAUAGUGAAAGACGGUUUUGCUGUCACUUAUAGAUGGAUCCGCGCCGCAUUAGCUAGUUGGUAAGGUAACGGCUUACCAAGGCAACGAUGCGUAGCCGACCUGAGAGGGUGAUCGGCCACACUGGAACUGAGACACGGUCCAGACUCCUACGGGAGGCAGCAGUAGGGAAUCUUCCGCAAUGGGCGAAAGCCUGACGGAGCAACGCCGCGUGAGUGAUGAAGGUCUUCGGAUCGUAAAACUCUGUUAUUAGGGAAGAACAAAUGUGUAAGUAACUAUGCACGCCUUGACGGUACCUAAUCAGAAAGCCACGGCUAACUACGUG